GCCAAAUUUCCAUGGGCCUUACCAUGCCUCCCUUCCACAAGAGCCCAAAAAUUAGAAUCUGUAAAUGGCUGCAGAACUCGUCGCCCCGUCAGAGUCGUUUAACGCCGGUUUCCGCCGCGUCAGUCCGCCGCCGCGGCUAACCGUCGCUGCCGUGUCAUGUCGGCGGCUGCUCUGCGAGUGAGGUGCCAUUGCUCUCCACCAUCCCUCGACGGUCGAUGCCAACGCGCGUGAGCUAGUCCCUACUCGACUCGUCUGCCGCCACCGUCGUCAUGGGCCCGACAACUCGUCCGCCGGUGCCGUACCGGCACCUCUCCUCAUCUCUUGCUCCGCCCAUGAGAUGCACAGGUUCAAUUAAAAGAAGCUACUGUUAGAUUUGGACUUGGAGGACAAAGAAGCGUCUGCACAAGUGUAGGGAAAGCCACCACAGUACCUGCGUGUCAUAGCCCUUCGGCAGCUGGGCGAUGAAGUUGUGCGCGUUGGCCGCCUUUGCCGCGGCGGCCGCUGCGCUCGCUUCCGCGAAGUACUUGACGUUCGACAACGCGGAGUAACUGAUUUUCACU